CAAUUCGGGGUAGUGGCGAUGCAAUCGCUACAAAAUUAUUUUGAUUUCCGUGCAACAAAAUUAUUUUCAGAUCCAGUUUUGACCUUCCAGCAAAAUCGUUCUUUCCGUGUGCAGACGCGAGCUGUCGGAUUGACUUGAAAAUUUCGCGUUUGUGGCGAAUCAUGAAAAUUGUAAUUACCCAGGGAAGUAUAGCAACGAGUACGUCCGCAAAAUAAAGGUGUGCCGUAAAUGGAACAUCAAAUAUUUCUUCGCGCGUAAUGCGGCAUGAAGCCACAUCCGGUCAACGGAAAAUGCGAUGCUGAUGACUUCUCUCGCAUUAAACUUGCGGCGCUAUCGCACAAUUAAGCCUCUCUCAUAAAAUCCGCCGUUCCUUAAAAGCGAAGUCGCAACAACAGCAACUAUGCGAGUCGCAGCAAUCGGGAUACUCUGUUGAUAGCUUUUUGGACGGAACGGGUUUGAUCGCUCCGAAAGCGAUUAAUGUCAUCCUGUUUAUAUAAUGUUUUCGUAUAUGACGUCAUUAAUCGCUCUUGGAGCGAUCAAACUCGCUCCGUCCGAAAACACUAUCAAGAUUUCAGAGCAAGAACGGGAAUAAAUUCAUUAACGAGGUUACGCUUUGAAUAUAAGCUGGUCGUCUGUAGGAUUUCACGUACGGGACAGUCACUUUAUUCUCAGCCUGAACUUUGUACGUAUAACUUUGUAAUAUUAAACAGUGAUAAUACUUUAUAACUGUUUAAUAUUUUUGGAACUGUUAACCUUGACUUCGUGUAAACGUAAGAUACGUAGAACUUGAUUUAUCCGCAUCGAAUCUUGCAUAAUAUUGUUGACAUCGGCACGUCCCGUUGUACAAAAUACAAACGGAAGACGACAGAGAUGACACAACUGAAAGGUUACACAAUUCUCUUUAGGACAAUAAUGAAUAAUGUAUAAUCGCUUUGUGUCUUUUCUUUCCUUUUUUUUUGUACUGUACAUUUGUCCGCGCAAAUGCAUGCGCAUACCCAAUGAAACGCAUUCUUCUUAGCUUUUUCAAUGAAAAAUUGCUGAUGUUUCAUCAUCGUGAUUAAUCACAACUGGCCGAGGAGAAUUAAGAAACGUGUAUUGCGUGGAUCUUUUUCCAUUCAUCAAAGUGUUAUAAGAGAUCCCGCGUUUCGCAUCGUGAAUUCCAAUUUUUACGGGAUAUCACCUUGAAGCGGUUCGGCACCGAGAGCGCCGCGCUCGUAUACCGUAUUCGUGUCACGGUCACGGAGAGAUUGCUUCGCGGGAUUCAGGACCAGUUUUGAGCCAUAAGACUUGCUCUUGGAGUGCAGAAAACACAAAAUAAUUCUGUGUAAAAAUAGUCCAAGAUCGUCACGUGCAACAGAUCUCUUAAAUUGAAUAAUCGCGGAGAAAAGUGUCUGCAGCAGCAAUUAAAAGCAGCAAUUACGCAGAAAUUAUGCUCGUUACUUGUUCAACCAGUUUCCUGGAUCCAGAGAAAGAUAAUCGAGAAAGGCGAGUGAAAAAAAGUCCCGUACGUUUUUGUCGGAGAGGCCAAUUGGAGGAAUUCUUAAGAAAGUAGCUGGGAAACGCGAGCGGUUUGCGAUAAAACGCACCGUUAAAACGGUUCAUAAACGUGGGAUCGCAUCGCUCUAAUAAUUCAUUCCAUAUAUAAUAAAUACUCGACCGGCUGAAAUGACAAUUUAAUUCGCAAUUCAAGGAUAACUUGUAAAAAAGAACUUGUUGUUGUGCUUUUUGCAACUCCUUUGUCUUUUUUUCUCGUUUUUUCUCGCUAGAAACGAGCGAUAAAGUUGCAUAUCAUCUUCAAUUCUGCUAAUCAUCUGGUGUGUACAGAUGUAAACACUUUUUGUAUCUCUAAUGCGUAAUACAUAAUGAUUGAAUCGCUUGAUUUAUUAAAAAAGUCUAUUAGAAUAUUCACAGAU